AUACCGGUUGAUGCUGCCGGAGGUGGCUGCUAUCGGGAUGAGAUUAAGUCAUGCAACUGAGAGCACAGUCUAUGUUUGUGCUCCGGGCAAGUCUGAGUAACGCGUAGUCAAUCUACCCUGUGGUUGAUGAUAACCCCGGCAAACUGGGGAUAAACAUCGAUAAUCACCGUCUGUUGGAAUACUUCGGUGGUAAAAGGAGUAUAAGCAUGGUUAUACACGCCAUAGGACGAGACUGCGUCCGAUUAGGUAUUGCGUGGGGUAAUGGCCCACGUAGCCUUAUCGGUAGGGGCUAUGAGUAGUAGUAUCCCCCAGUUGAAUCCUGAGACACUGAUUCAGGGCCUAUGGGUUGCAGCAGGCAC
rfam:Archaeon Heimdall LC_3 HeimC3_contig000011, whole genome shotgun sequence.